rnacentral:rRNA from 1 species
UACGUAGGGUGCAAGCGUUAAUCGGAAUUACUGGGCGUAAAGCGUGCGCAGGCGGUUUUGUAAGUCUGACGUGAAAUCCCCGGGCUUAACCUGGGAAUUGCGUUGGAGACUGCAAGGCUAGAAUCUGGCAGAGGGGGGUAGAAUUCCACGUGUAACAGUGAAAUGCGUAGAGAUGUGGAGGAACACCGAUGGCGAAGGCAGCCCCCUGGGUCAAGAUUGACGCUCAUGCACGAAAGCGUGGGGAGCAAACAGG